GGGGGUGUAGCUCAGUUGGUUAGAGCACCUGCCUGUCACGCAGGGGGCCGCGAGUUCGAGUCUCGUCACUCCCG
rnacentral:tRNA from 1 species